GCAUUGGCCACUUUACAUCCAAAAUUUUACUUGUCUACAACAGCGACAGAAAUUGUAUUAAUACUGUGCGAUAAAUUAAAAAAAUAAUAGAGUAGGCCUGGUCUUCUCGGUAUACGGAUUGACCCGCUUCCAGUAAUAAGUACUACGAUGAUUAAAAGAUGCCAAUAAAAAAUAAUGAAUUUUUUUGAACCUGAUAAUUGGAGACAAUAGACACCGAAGGCAGCUUUUCUAAUUGGAUUUCACCAAUCAGUUCUGAUAUGUCGUCAAGAAGAUAUCACGAGAUCCCCCGAUAAAGCGACGUGAGAGGAAGGAGAAUGAAUUUUCAACGAUGUUAACUCUUCUGUCUCUUCCAUAAUUGAUCUAGCGAUGUCUAAAUGAAAUUAUUUCGUCGAUUAAUUAUUACAAGAUCAAGGGUAGUUAAAUAAAUAAAUUAAUGAAUUAUCA